rnacentral:tRNA from 1 species
CCUACUCUAAUAGUUUAUAAAAACAUUGGUCUUGU